GGGUGCCCCCACAGCCGUGUGUCAGCGCUGCAGGACCGUCACCCCGCACCUGCUCCUCCCUCCCCCGCAGCCAUCCAUGGGAGCAGCGCCCCUGCACGUACAGCUUCUACCCUUCUGUCUGUGAAGUUCCAGGCUAUUUGUCACCUGAUCUGCUUUUGAAUUCAAGGAAAGAAAAUUAUGCAGAAGUUCAAAGAAGGCUUUGAAGAUAAUAUUUUUUCUAAGGUUUUUAACAUGAAAGACAAGCUGCUUUCAUAAUAACCUAACUUGAAUGAUAGAAUGGUUUGGGUUGAACAAAAUCAGUUUCAUCCUCUGAGUACACGUGACAGGAUGGAUUUCAUCAGAACAUAUAAACAAACAUAGGGACCUGCAAUGUGCACAGCCACUCUCAAUUUCCCAGUGAAGUUUCACGCAUCACAAUAAAACCCUGACUGUGUCCAGACCACUAGCAAGAGCCUUGAACCACAACAUGUGAAGGGAAAACCAGCCAACCCACCUCUUCCGGACACAGCUGCACAUCCCUGAUUAGUAAAUCAAGAAAGCUCUCUCCAUGCUCAAGAAAGAGACUUGCACAAACCAUCUGGCUAUGUACACCUAAUUAAGAAGUGUAUAGAUCAUACAUAGAAAUAACUAUUUUGAACAGCAGCCUUGUAAGCAGAAAUUUCAACUUGCACACUGUUGAUUUUCUUCACAGAUAAAAGUUGUAGUUUAUUUUCUCUAUAAAACCCAGGCAACCUUUUCACCCCACUCCUUUUUGCAGUGGGAUUUCAGAUGAUCAUUACCAUGGAUGUUUCUAUGGACAUCUCAUGGUACCAACGACAAUUAAAUUAAAAUUUUAAUAAUGGAUUUUUAACUUCUACCUCAAUGUAUCUAAAAAAAUAAAUGUAUGUAUUAAACAUCCCCUCCACAACACAGAAAUUCCUUCCUUUCCUCCUCUAACUCAUCAACCUAAUUGAACAACACUUUCAUUUGUAAGACUGCAUUCUUGGUUGAGACAUUUUCUUUCAAGGGGAGGUCUACCCUUUAAGAAUGCCUUAUAACACACUUGUUGCCCAAUUAAUCUUAGUUAAGAAAAGAAAAAAAUCCAUACUUGUUAGCAUUAGGAAACACUGAUCACUUAAAAAUCUGUCAAUUCAAGCAUAUCUUGGCUGCACUUUUACACUACUGUGUUUCAAGUAUCCUGAUAGGUGGUAUGUCUACCACAACAAAGGAAAACAAUUAAAAAUUACAAAUACAAUAAAUGCGGAAAAAUACUAACUUAUUAUCCACAAAGUACAAAGAUUAAGGAGCACUCACAAGAAUUACAUACCGAUACUAUGUUACUCUUAUUCAGACCCUUCUAAAAUCAACAAAGGGAAAAGAAGUGGCCAGGAGACAAAGGAGAGGCCAGGAUCACAGAAUAUUGUGAGCUGGAAGGGACCCACAAGGAUCAAGUCCAGCACUUAGGUCAGUGACUCAUACAUUAUUAGCACCAUGCUACAGCCAACUGAGCCCAUCUCAGUGCAGACUUCAAGCAGAUUAAUGCAUCUCUAAUGACAUUGCUCUAAGCACGUGUCUUCAAGAGCUGAGUUCAUGUACUUGGUUAAGCCUAAACCAGAUGGCAUCACCUGGCUGAUUCCAGGGCAAAUUUCAGACAGUGCUGCAGCUUUUCAAAGCUGAACACAAAGACAAUCAACUCACUGAGCAACCUGGCAUUUGUUGCAUAUGCAUUUACUGUAUUACUACAGAAUUCCUAAUCACGUCAUUAAGAAACAUGAAAAGCCUAGAUACAUUUUAUCUUUAGAUUUUUUAUUAUUAUUAUUUCAGAGGCACUUAAUGUCUUACAUUUACAUAGCGCCAUUUCCCCCUCCAAAACACUUUACAGUAUUUACACACAGGAAUGUUUCCCACCGCUGAAAUGCAGCCAUCUGACUAUUUCCAGUACCAUCUUCAAAGCACCAGCAAUUUGAGACUGAAAGUAUUCAUCAGUAUGCUGUCUAUUAAGGUAGUUCAGAAUUCCACUUCAUGAACUUCCAACUUGUGCUAUUAAAGAAACAUAACUAAAAUACAGUAUCACAGUGCAAUUCUGCAACAGAACUGAGACUUCGAUCAUUUUCAUUAGAUUUUUUUACAAUCUCUCACUAGAUCAAGUCUAUCUCAAACAAUUUAAUGUAAGGCCUUUCAAGAAUAUAAUUCUAAAAUAUAAUUCUUUUUUAUAUUUUCUUUAUAAGCCUCCCUUACAAUCAAGCAUAGAGGAAUAUUUUUUUUCCCUUCCAGUAUAAUUAGAAACACCAGGUCCUGGCCCUAAGGAGAUACCAGCAUCCUCACUUUCAACAAACUUCAUAGCACCUAAAGGCAAACCUAUUCCUCCUUGGUUUUGGAGAUGGAUUUUUUUGUUUGCUCGUUGUUAGUUUUAAAAAUAAAUACAAGAUUACACAAAAUUCUGUUACAUCCAGUAAAAUUGUAAAGUACAAUUGGGAUUGGCUGCUGGGGGCAAUGUAAGUGUGCUGUGUAUGGUUUUACUUGUUAGCAUUAAAAACACAUUUAAGUAUCCCAAGUUCACUACUCCACUGCAAAAGACUGCCCUAAUCACAAAGAUCACAGCAACUUCCUCAGUUUAGAGAAUUUUUUCUUUGUCUCUCUAAAAGGCUACUAAAACA